rnacentral:rRNA from 1 species
CCCUUAGAUGUUCUGGGCGGCCCGCGCACUACAUUGGCACUGGCAACAAGAUCCUAGAUCUGGUAUUUCGGGGUAUUCUACCAACUGGUGUCGUGACUGGGAUUAACCCCUGCAAUUAUUGGUUAUGAACGAGGAAUUCCUUGUAAUCACGGUUUAUCAACCCGUGUUGAAUGCGUCCCUGCCCUUUGUACACACCGCCCGUCGCUCCUACCGAUGACUCGUCCGGUGAAGUUCAUGGAGUCGCGGCUGCUCCAGCUGUUUUCGAAGUGAAAUGGACCUCAUGAUUUAGAGGAAGGAGAAGUCGUAACA